rnacentral:rRNA from 1 species
UUUCGCAAUGCCCGAAAGGGUGACGAAGCGACGCCGCGUGGGUGAGGAAGGCCUUCGGGUUGUAAAGCCCUGUCAGGAGUUAAGAAAUGUAAGUGCGCUAAUAUCGCAUUUAUUUGACGAAGGCUCCAAAGGAAGUCACGGCUAACUCUGUGCCAGCAGCCGCGGUAAUACAGAGGUGGCAAGCGUUGUUCGGAAUUAUUGGGCGUAAAGAGCACGUAGGUGGGUUUGUAAGUCAGAUGUGAAAGCCUUCUGUUCAACGGAAGAAUUGCAUCUGAAACUGCGAGUCUUGAGUGUAGGAGGGGAGGAUGGAACUUCUGGUGGAGCGGUGAAAUGCGUAGAUAUCAGAAGGAACGCCGGCGGCGAAAGCGAUUCUCUGGCCUAUUACUGACACUCAGUGUGCGAAAGCUAGGGGAGCAAACGGGAUUAGAUACCCCGGUAGUCCUAGCCGUAAACGAUGGGCACUAAGUAGAGGGGUUUU